rnacentral:rRNA from 1 species
GAUGAACGCUGGCGGCGUGCCUAAUACAUGCAAGUCGAGCGAACAGACGAGGAGCUUGCUCCUCUGACGUUAGCGGCGGACGGGUGAGUAACACGUGGAUAACCUACCUAUAAGACUGGGAUAACUUCGGGAAACCGGAGCUAAUACCGGAUAAUAUAUUGAACCGCAUGGUUCAAUAGUGAAAGACGGUUUUGCUUUCACUUAUAGAUGGAUUCGCGCCGCAUUAGCUAGUUGGUAAGGUAACGGCUUACCAAGGCGACGAUGCGUAGCCGACCUGAGAGGGUAAUCAGCCACCCUGGAACGGAAACAAGGUACAGUCUCCUACGGGAAGCAACGGUAGAGAAUCUUCCACAAGGGGCGAAAGCCUGACGGAGCAACGCCGCGUGAGUGAUGAAGGUAUUCGGAUCGUAGAACUCAGUUAUUAGGGAAGAACAAAUGUGUAAGUAACUAUGCACGUAUUGACGGUACCUAAUCAGUAAGCCACGGCUAACUACGUG